CUCGCCUGCAUGAAGUCGGAAUUGCUAGUAAUCGCGGAUCAGCAUGCCGCGGUGAAUACGUUCUCGGGCCUUGUACACACCGCCCGUCACACCAUGGGAGUCGGUAACACCCGAAGUCUGUAGCCUGACGCAAGAGGGCGCAGCCGAAGGUGGGAUUGAUGACUGGGGUGAAGUCGUAACAAGGUACC
rnacentral:rRNA from 1 species